UGGGGAAUUUUGGACAAUGGGGGAAACCCUGAUCCAGCCAUCCCGCGUGUGCGAUGAAGGCCUUCGGGUUGUAAAGCACUUUUGGCAGGAAAGAAACGUCGCGGGUUAAUACCCCGCGGAACUGACGGUACCUGCAGAAUAAGCACCGGCUAACCACGUGCCAGCAGCCGCGGUAAUACGUAGGGUGCAAGCGUUAAUCGGAAUUACUGGGCGUAAAGCGUGCGCAGGCGGUUCGGAAAGAAAGAUGUGAAAUCCCAGAGCUUAACUUUGGAACUGCAUUUUUAACUACCGGGCUAGAGUGUGUCAGAGGGAGGUGGAAUUCCGCGUGUAGCAGUGAAAUGCGUAGAUAUGCGGAGGAACACCGAUGGCGAAGGCAGCCUCCUGGGAUAACACUGACGCUCAUGCACGAAAGCGUGGGGAGCAAACAGGAUUAGAUACCCUGGUAGUCCACGCCCUAAACGAUGUCAACUAGCUGUUGGGGUCUUCGGACCUUGGUAGCGCAGCUAACGCGUGAAGUUGACCGCCUGGGGAGUACGGUCGCAAGAUUAAAACUCAAAUGAAUUGACGGGGUCG
rnacentral:rRNA from 1 species